rnacentral:rRNA from 1 species
CUCGGAGUUUGAUCCUGGCUCAGGAUGAACGCUAGCGGCAGGCUUAACACAUGCAAGUCGAGGGGUAUAGUUCUUCGGAGCUAGAGACCGGCGCACGGGUGCGUAACGCGUAUGCAAUCUACCUUUUACAGAGGGAUAGCCCAGAGAAAUUUGGAUUAAUACCUCAUAGUAUGUGAGAAUCGCAUGGUUUUCACAUUAAAGUUCCAACGGUAAAACGAUGAGCAUGCGUCCCAUUAGCUUGUUGGUAAGGUAACCGGCUUACCAAGGCAACGAUGGGUAGGGGUCCUGAGAGGGACGAUCCCCCGACACUGGUACUGAGACACGGACCAGACUCCGUACGGGAGCAGCAGUGAGGAAUAUUGGUCAAUGGACGCAAGUCUGACCCAGCCCAUGCCCGCGUGCAGGAUGACGGUCCUAUGGAUUGU